rnacentral:misc_RNA from 1 species
AAGUCGUAACAAGGUUUCCGUAGGUGAACCUGCGGAAGGAUCAUUAAUGAAUUUGAAAGGAGUUGUUGCUGGCCUGAAACCCAGGCAUGUGCACGCUCCAAUCUCAUCCAUCUUACACCUGUGCACCCUUGCGUGGGUCCGUCGGCUUUGCGGUCGACGGGCUUGCGUUUUUCAUAAACUCUUUUGUAUGUAACAGAAUGUCAUAAUGCUAUAAACGCAUCUUAUACAACUUUCAACAACGGAUCUCUUGGCUCUC